UUGUCAAAAUGCAUACAAUGUCCUUUUAAUUCAGUAGAAAGCAGAAAAAAAUGUUAUGAGCAAUUUGCUUCUUCAUAUUUGCAUGUGGUUAUUCAUUUAUAACCGUACCUAGAAGCAAAUUUAAAACACCCCACUUCAUAAAUCUACAGCACAUUUAAGGUUUCAGCGUUCUGCCUCUCAAUAUUUCUUCAGCGAAGCAUGUCUCUGUCAUCUGCAUUUGUAGGAUGCCCUGCAAAGUUUCACUAUCUUUCCUCUGUUAGAAAUGCUAAUGUCUCACCUAUUUGGAUCAGUGCCAUUGAAUCGUGGCCCACAGCAUGUAGGCCUGACAGCAAACACGGUGGUGGAUCCUUGUCCCAGACCCCCGUCUCCCUCUUCCCCUUCCUCUUCUCUCUCUCUCUCUCUCUCUCUCUCUCUCUCUCUCUCUUCGGGCUGGGGCAGCUGGGUUAGUCAGGAGCUAGACGAAACGAUCGAGUCCCAGCUGCCUGAUACUACCUGUCACACGUAGCGUAACAGCAGCAGCGUGCUCUAAUUAACGCGUGCACCGCCGCCGUGUCUCUUGAAAAGCCACUGAGACUUCCUUUAGAGCACUGUCACACAGGGCCCAGUGGCAUGCAGCUUUACAGUCUGUGGUUAAUACUGAGCCUUUCAAGCAACAUGGCAAAACAACCGGAUUUAUGCCUUAUCUUUACCUCACUUUACAUCACAUUCUGUUCUCUUUUGCAAACUCUGCAAACCACAUCUUAAUUAGAGGGUGCACAUGCCAACAUCGAAAUGCUGUCCUUCUUAUCUUUGCUUUGUCAAGCAGGGCCAUUGUUUCAACACCACAGAAUAUACUGUGUAAUGUAUGCCUUAACAUCACAUGCUAAAGCUACUGUAUGAGUAUAUAGCAGGAUCUAUAUAUCACUAUGAGAAAUGCAAACACACCAGUGCACUUUGUGGCAGGUGUGAUACAAGUGGCAAAUGUGAUGCGCUGACGUUAAACAAAGGUGCAUCUAAGAUAUUUGAACUGAUUGUGGUUUCUGACAGAGCCUGCAGUAAGAAUUGCAAAGUGCAUGAAUAUGUUUUGCAUUAUCUAGCAGUUAGAUAGCUUUCGGGAGGGCCGGGCUUUGAUUUUGGAACCUGAAGGUGAACACAACUAAAUUAAGGCCUCUGUAGCGACAAAAUAUUACAUUAAAACUGGUACCUGUGCG
rnacentral:lncRNA from 1 species